rnacentral:rRNA from 1 species
GACGAACGCUGGCGGCGUGCUUAACACAUGCAAGUCGAACGAUGAAAGCGGGAGCUUGCUCCUGCUGGAUUAGUGGCGAACGGGUGAGUAACACGUGAGCAAUCUGCCCCGAACUCUGGGAUAAGCGUUGGAAACGACGUCUAAUACCGGAUACGACGCGCGAAGGCAUCUUCUGCGCGUGGAAAGAAUUUCGGUUCGGGAUGAGCUCGCGGCCUAUCAGCUAGUUGGUGAGGUAAUGGCUCACCAAGGCGACGACGGGUAGCCGGCCUGAGAGGGUGACCGGCCACACUGGGACUGAGACACGGCCCAGACUCCUACGGGAGGCAGCAGUGGGGAAUAUUGCACAAUGGGCGCAAGCCUGAUGCAGCAACGCCGCGUGAGGGACGACGGCCUUCGGGUUGUAAACCUCUUUUAGUAGGGAAGAAGCGAAAGUGACGGUACCUGCAGAAAAAGCACCGGCUAACUACGUGCCAGCCGCCGCCGUAA